rnacentral:rRNA from 1 species
CUGGGUCACCUCCCACCCGUGUUUAUUUUACCUUGUUGCUUCGGCGGGCCCGCCUUAACUGGCCGCCGGGGGGCUUACGCCCCCGGGCCCGCGCCCGCCGAAGACACCCUCGAACUCUGUCUGAAGAUUGUAGUCUGAGUGAAAAUAUAAAUUAUUUAAAACUUUCAACAACGGAUCUCUUGGUUCCGGCAUCGAUGAAGAACGCAGCGAAAUGCGAUACGUAAUGUGAAUUGCAAAUUCAGUGAAUCAUCGAGUCUUUGAACGCACAUUGCGCCCCCUGGUAUUCCGGGGGGCAUGCCUGUCCGAGCGUCAUUUCUGCCCUCAAGCACGGCUUGUGUGUUGGGCCCCGUCCUCCGAUCCCGGGGGACGGGCCCGAAAGGCAGCGGCGGCACCGCGUCCGGUCCUCGAGCGUAUGGGGCUUUGUCACCCGCUCUGUAGGCCCGGCCGGCGCUUGCCGAUCAACCCAAAUUUUUAUCCAGGUUGACCUCGGAUCAGGUAGGGAUACCCGCUGAACUUAAGCAUAUCAAUAAGCGGAGGAA